GGGGGACCUUCGGGCCUCUUGCCAUCGGAUGUGCCCAGAUGGGAUUAGCUAGUAGGUGGGGUAACGGCUCACCUAGGCGACGAUCCCUAGCUGGUCUGAGAGGAUGACCAGCCACACUGGAACUGAGACACGGUCCAGACUCCUACGGGAGGCAGCAGUGGGGAAUAUUGCACAAUGGGCGCAAGCCUGAUGCAGCCAUGCCGCGUGUAUGAAGAAGGCCUUCGGGUUGUAAAGUACUUUCAGCGGGGAGGAAGGGAGUAAAGUUAAUACCUUUGCUCAUUGACGUUACCCGCAGAAGAAGCACCGGCUAACUCCGUGCCAGCAGCCGCGGUAAUACGGAGGGUGCAAGCGUUAAUCAGGAAGUUCUGGGCGUAAAGCGCACGCUGCGA
rnacentral:rRNA from 1 species